rnacentral:rRNA from 1 species
GGAAACAGAUUCUAAUACCGGAUAACAACAGAUGAUGCCUAUCAACUGUUUAAAAGAUGGUUCUGCUAUCACUCUUGGAUGGACCUGCGGUGCAUUAGCUAGUUGGUAGGGUAACGGCCUACCAAGGCGAUGAUGCAUAGCCGAGUUGAGAGACUGAUCGGCCACAUUGGGACUGAGACACGGCCCAAACUCCUACGGGAGGCAGCAGGU